rnacentral:miRNA from 1 species
GCAGACACAUUCCAGCCAAUCAGCAGCAGACCCUCCCUCCCAGACCCUCCCACCUCCUGGACAGCAUCCAUUUUACAUUAAUUUUGAAGCUGCAUUCUUAGUGAGCUGUCCAGGAGGUGGGAGGGUCUGGGAGGGAGGGUCUGCUGCUGAUUGGCUGGAAUGUGUCUG